AUCCAGCUGACGAGUUCCAAAUAUGACGAAACGCGUGUCUUGUAU
rfam:Schistosoma curassoni strain Dakar, Senegal genome assembly, scaffold: SCTD_scaffold0011439